UACGGGGGGGGCAAGCGUUGUUCGGAAUUACGGGGCGUAAAGGGCUCGUAGGUGGCCAACUAAGUCAGACGUGAAAUCCCUCGGCUUAACCGGGGAACUGCGUCUGAUACUGGAUGGCUUGAGUUCGGGAGAGGGAUGCGGAAUUCCAGGUGUAGCGGUGAAAUGCGUAGAUAUCUGGAGGAACACCGGUGGCGAAGGCGGCAUCCUGGACCGACACUGACACUGAGGAGCGAAAGCCAGGGGAGCAAACGGG
rnacentral:rRNA from 1 species